AGCGUAGACGGCAUGGCAAGUCUGAUGUGAAAACUUGGGGCUCAACCCCAAGACUGCAUUGGAAACUGUUAAGCUAGAGUGCAGGAGAGGUAAGCGGAAUUCCUAGUGUAGCGGUGAAAUGCGUAGAUAUUAGGAGGAACACCAGUGGCGAAGGCGGCUUACUGGACUGUAACUGACGUUGAGGCUCGAAAGCGUGGGGAGCAAACA
rnacentral:rRNA from 1 species